CUCUUCCUUUAAAUCCUCCUUCCAUUCUGCCCUCUGUGUGCAGUGUUAGUAAAUCCACUGCUGUGCAUGACCUUUUCAUCUCUCGUUCCCUAGACUUACUAGCCUUAACUGAAACAUAGCUCUCUCCUCCUGACACCGCUACCCCUGCCUCUCUAUCCUUUGGUGGUCUUUAAUUUUUCCACAACCCAAAACGCUCUGAAUGUAAAGGUGG